CCUACGGGGGGCAGCAGUGAGGAAUAUUGGUCAAUGGACGAGAGUCUGAACCAGCCAAGUAGCGUGAAGGAUGACUGCCCUAUGGGUUGUAAACUUCUUUUAUAUGGGAAUAAAAUGUUCCACGUGUGGGAUUUUGUAUGUACCAUAUGAAUAAGGAUCGGCUAACUCCGUGCCAGCAGCCGCGGUAAUACGGAGGAUCCGAGCGUUAUCCGGAUUUAUUGGGUUUAAAGGGAGCGUAGGUGGAUUGUUAAGUCAGUUGUGAAAGUUUGCGGCUCAACCGUAAAAUUGCAGUUGAAACUGGCAGUCUUGAGUACAGUAGAGGUGGGCGGAAUUCGUGGUGUAGCGGUGAAAUACUUAGAUAUCACGAAGAACUCCGAUUGCGAAGGCAGUUCACUGGACUGCAACUGACACUGAGGCUCGAAAGUGUGGGUAUCAAACAGGAUUAGAUACCCGAGUAGUC
rnacentral:rRNA from 1 species